UACGUAGGCAGCAAGCGUUGUUCGGAAUCACUGGGCGUAAAGGGCGUCUAGGCGGUCAGAUAAGUGGGAUGUGAAAUGCCCCGGCUCACCCGGGGACCGGCAUCCCAAACUGUCUGGCUUGAGUAUGGGAGAGGAUGUGGGAAUUCCUGGUGUAGCGGUGAAAUGCGUAGAUAUCAGGAGGAACACCGGUGGCGAAGGCGCACAUCUGGCCCAAUACUGACGCUAAAGCGCGAAAGCUAGGGGAGCAAACGGG
rnacentral:rRNA from 1 species